rnacentral:rRNA from 1 species
AAUAUUGCGCAAUGGGCGAAAGCCUGACGCAGCCACGCCGCGUGAGCGAUGAAGGUUUUCGGAUCGUAAAGCUCUGUGGGGAGAGAAGAAAAAGGGCAGUGAAGAGCUGUUCAUGACGGUAUCUCCUUAGCAAGCACCGGCUAACUCCGUGCCAGCAGCCGCGGUAAUACGGAGGGUGCUAACGUUGCUCGGAAUCAUUGGGCGUAAAGCGCGCGUAGGCGGUUUGUCAAGUUGGAUGUGAAAGCCCUGGGCUCAACCUGGGAAGUGCAUCCAAAACUGGCAGACUUGAAUCUCGGAGGGGGCCAGAGAAUUCCCGGUGUAGAGGUGAAAUUCGUAGAUAUCGGGAGGAAUACCAGUGGCGAAGGCGCUGGCCUGGACGAAGAUUGACGCUGAGGCGCGAAAGCGUGGGUAGCAAACAGGAUUAGAUACCCUGGUAGUCCACGCCGUA